UCAUAAUGGCUUGAAUGUACUCUGCAAACAAGAAUAACCUGGAAUGUCACUGUUCAAGUUAAAGGAUGCUCAAGAGGUUGAAGGCUAGUACUCUACAAACCCUUACAAGCAGUUCUCUGGGUUUCAUCUUUGUCAGAAUCCUGUAUUCGUGGCUACUCUGCCCAAAUAUGUGACCAGAGGUCAGCAAAUACAGUCUGGCUCCCACCGACUACUUUUCACUUUUCCAAUUGGAAACAAUGUCUCAACACAAAGCAGAUGCAGACGAAGUUUCAUUGAGUCUUCAUAGCUAAGAGAUUCUGGAGAUAAGGACAAAGGCAGAGAAUAUCUCAUCCACAGGUGCCCAUGGAAACCAGAGGAGGAACUGGAUCCUCAGGUGGCGGAUGCAGAAGAGGGACGGACGGACGGCUGCAAGUAGGACACACACAUCAUCAGGGAAAGAAGCACCGCACUUGUCAGAGAGGAAGAAACAAAGAAUAAGAACCACAGCAGAAGCAGGAGCUCCACUGCCUUAAGAGCUGUGGAGCAUCCUCCUCCUCAGCAUCCUCCUCCCCAGCAUCCUCCUCAGCAUCUCCUCCUCAGCAGCGUGGCAGCUGACCCACAGCUCGUGAACUUAGUUGGCAAAAAGGCGAGGGUCAAUUUCUUUCAGAAGAUAAGAUGGUAAAAGAAACCCUACUGUUGAAUAAUCUGUCCCCACGAGAGCACUUUGUUCAUGGUACUGAAAGGGCAAAUAAUCUCCAUAAAAGCUCUAAAUUGUAGGAUAAGAAAAUACGGUUAGAACAGUUCUGAUUUCUUCAGCUAUACUGAAAUGCCAACAUUUGACAUAACUUUGGAUGUGUUUGCUACAUUCGAAGAUUUACUAAGACACAUUUCUUAGUAAUUUUGGGACAGCAUUAUGACAGAGUUUCCAGUGAAUAUAAGAAAUUAUUUCAUUUAUAAAAUGAUGUGUUAAAGCCAAGAGUCACUGAAGCUUCUUGGUGGACAUAAGACACAACUUCAAAACUGGACGACAUUUAGUAGUAAUUCUGAGAACCUCAAAUCAAUGACAAACCUAUAACACAAAAGUUGUAACAUCUAGUUUGAGGUACUUUGUAUUUUCAAAGUAUUCAUGGCCAACCUCAAAAAGAUGCAGUCCAUCUUGGACAUCCUCAAGACCCAA